UACAGAGGGGGCAAGCGUUGUUCGGAAUUACUGGGCGUAAAGCGCGUGUAGGCGGCCCUGCAAGUCGGAUGUGAAAUCCCACGGCUCAACCGUGGAAGUGCAUUCGAAACUGCAGGGCUAGAGUCCUGGAGAGGAAGGUGGAAUGCUUGGUGUAGAGGUGAAAUUCGUAGAUAUCAAGCGGAACACCGGUGGCGAAGGCGGUUCUCUGGGCAUGUCCUGGACGCUGAGGAGCGAAAGCGUGGGUAGCGAACAGG
rnacentral:rRNA from 1 species